GUAUGAUGUAUAUAUAGUUCGGAUACUAUACUUUCAUAAAUACGAUCACCUUCCGAAUUGACAAUUCAUGCCGUCUAAAAUACUCUUAUAAAUCAAAUUUCAUAAUUUUUCAGCAGUAUUUACUUUAAGAUCAAAAGAUCUUAAAAUUGAUAAUAUUUAACGGCUGGUUUGGAAUAUAUGCGAAUUUAACGGUAUAAAAAAAUUAGAAUUAAUUAAAUUUUUGACAAAAAAUUAUAUUCACAAAUAAAGAUCAAUAACUUUGAUCUUAAAUUAAAGAAUCUGAUCAUCUAUUUUUAUGAGGCUGUUCAAUUUUGAUCGUGCAUUUUAUGAUGUCCGCUUGAUGAAUUUUUAUAUAAUUUCAAAAAAUAGCAAAAUUAAUUUACUAAAAGUUUCAAAUAUUUUAAAUUAUAUUUAGUGAUAUGGAUCAUCAAUUUGAAAACUUCAUCAUCAAAAAUAAUUUACGAGUAUAAAUGAUCUAUACUUAUAAAAGUAUAGUAGCCCUACUCUCUCUCACUCUCUCACUAUAUAUAUAUAUAGAGUAGGGCUGCUGUGCUCUCAGGAGCACGGAGGCCUCCGUGCUCCUGAGUCGUUUUCGAUGAUGGAAUUUCCGAAUCGACGUUCGGCUCCGUCAAACUUGAUCUAGCGUAUUUAAAGUUUCUAGAAAAUAAUUUUUGUGAUUUUUUGAUUUCAUUUACCUAGCAAUCGAAAGGAUUCAAAAUCAAUAAUUUUUAAUGGCUGAAAAUUAAAAUUCUAUGAAAAGUGGUGAUAUAGCAUUAAAAUUUUCGAUCAGAAAUAUUGAUCUUGUUGUAGAUAGUAUAAAGAAUUUUGUAUCAAAAUUUCAUCUGAUUUGAAUACUUCUACACCAUUCAACUUGAAAACAACAGAUAUCAACUAUUAAAAAUUAUUGAUUUUGAAUCUUUUCGCUCACUAGGUAAAUGAUAUCAAAAAAUCGCAAAAAUUAUUUCUUAGAAACUUCAAAUACCCUAGAUCAAGUCUAACGGAGCCGAUUGUCGAUUCGAAAAUUUCAUCAUCGAAAACGACUCAGGAGCACGGAGGCCUCUGUACUCCUGAAAGCACAGCAGCCAUACUAUAUAUAUAU
rnacentral:lncRNA from 1 species